UACGUAGGGGGCAAGCGUUGUCCGGAAUCAUUGGGGCGUAAAGAGCGUGUAGGCGGCCAGAUAAGUCCGCUGUGAAAAUCUCGAGGCUCAACUUCGAGCUGUCGGUGGAAACUGUCUGGCUAGAGUCCGGAAGAGGAGAAUGGAAUUCCUGGUGUAGCGGUGAAAUGCGCAGAUAUCAGGAAGAACACCCGUGGCGAAGGCGGUUCUCUGGGACGGUACUGACGCUGAGACGCGAAAGCGUGGGGGAGCGAACAGG
rnacentral:rRNA from 1 species